rnacentral:lncRNA from 1 species
UUCAAAUGUUUCGUUGGUUACAGCUCUGAUUUUAUCUGGUCCUGGUCUGCUCCAUUCUUGCCCUUUUAAGGUCCUCCUCUGGCCAGUUAUAGCACCUCUGGGCCCCAGCCCAAAGUCUCUGUGUUGGGUAAACACUAUAUUCCCAUUAAGACGGAUGAGUCUUUGUCAGCAGUGCUGUUGGAGAAACCAUCUGUUAGGUCCAGGCCAUCUGUGCUUUAGGAAAGUCCUGGAAUGCUGUUGAAGUGUAGAGCGACCCAGCCUUCCAUCCUGGUGGAGAAUAGUCUGCCUGCUUAGAUGUGUGAAGAGGUCGUUAUGCAUUACCUUGUUGAGUCCUCCAAAACCUUGUGAGUUUCAUGCAGGUUCAUGUGAGGCAGCAGGACCCUGGGACCCACCCUGACGCCAAUCUAUCCUCCCUGCUCCUGACUCUGGAGCCUCAGGGCUCAGACCAGUGGCUGGACAGGUCUUUCCUUCUGGUAUAUUUGAGCUUCAACCCUGAAUAUUGUUUGGAAGGACUGAUGCUGAAACUCCAAUACUUUGGCCACCUGAUGCAAAGAACUGACUCAUUGGAAAACACCCUGAUGCUGGAAAAGACUGAGGGCAGGAGGAGAAGGGGACAACAGAGAAUAAGAUGGUUGGAUGGCAUCAUUGACUCAAUGGACAUGAGUUUAAGUAAGCUCUGGGAGAUGGUGAAGGACAGGAAAGCCUGGCAUGCUGCAGUCUGUGAGGUUGCAGAGUCAGACACAACUGAGCAAUUGAACAAGUAGAUAAGCAAAUGAAUCCCAGAAUCCUACUUUGAGGGUCUUCUCUUGGAGUCAUUAUGUAAUACAGAUUUCCCCUGCUAUCUGAAAGUAGAGUGUCCUGUGAAACCUUGUGUAAGUUAAAACAGCAUAAAGUGAAGAAGCAAUUGUCUUAGGACACACCUUGCU